CUGGUGUAGUUUCCAUUGGCGUCUUGUAGCCCCUGGAGAAUGCGCUCUCUCAGAACCAGAACAGAAACACGGAGCUGGUGCCAGAGUAGUUGUACUGUAUGGAUAUCGACUAUCACAUUGACAGAGUAUGAGAGAAGCUUCAGGGAAAACUCAGUCUCUAGUAGAGCAUGAAUUUGUUCAACAUGAUCAGAUAUAUCUUCACAAAUAUCCUGAGUGACUGUGCAGGUCAAGUUUAGGCCUGUCAGUUCUUCC
rnacentral:lncRNA from 1 species